rnacentral:rRNA from 1 species
UACGUAGGUGACAAGCGUUGUCCGGAUUUACUGGGCGUAAAGAGCGCGCAGGCGGUCGUUCAAGUCGAGUGUGAAAGCCCCCGGCUCAACUGGGGAGGGUCAUUCGAUACUGAUCGACUCGAAGGCAGGAGAGGGAAGUGGAAUUCCCGGUGUAGUGGUGAAAUGCGUAGAUAUCGGGAGGAACACCAGUGGCGAAGGCGACUUCCUGGCCUGUUCUUGACGCUGAGGCGCGAAAGCUAAGGGUAGCAAACGGGG